rfam:Triticum aestivum genome assembly, contig: Triticum_aestivum_CS42_TGACv1_scaffold_266177_3DL
CAAGUACUCCCUCUGUCCGGAAUUACUUGUCAUCAAAAUUGAUGUGUCUAGAACUAAAAUACAUCUAGAUACAUCCAUUUCAAUGACAAGUAUUUUCGGACAGAGGGAGUACAAG